AAAGAUUAAGCCAUGCAUGUCUAAGUAUAAACAAUUUUGUACUGUGAAACUGCGAAUGGCUCAUUAUAUCAGUUAUAGUCUACUCGAUAGUACCUUACUACUUGGAUAACCGUAGUAAUUCUAGAGCUAAUACAUGCAUGAAUACCCAACUGCUUGUCGGGCGGGUAGCAUUUAUUAGAUUGAAACCAAUGCAGUCUUCGAGCUGGUAUUGUGUUGAGUCAUAAUAACUGUGCGGAUCGCACUUUGUGCGAUAAAUCGAUUGAGUUUCUGCCCUAUCAGCUUUGGAUGGUAGGAUAUGGGCCUACCAUGGCAU
rnacentral:rRNA from 1 species